rnacentral:rRNA from 1 species
UACAGAGGUCUCAAGCGUUGUUCGGAUUCAUUGGGCGUAAAGGGCGCGUAGGCGGCGGGGUAAGUCGGGUGUGAAAUCUCAGAGCUCAACUCUGAAACUGCACUCGAUACUGCUUUGCUAGAGGACUGGAGAGGAGAUUGGAAUUCACGGUGUAGCAGUGAAAUGCGUAGAGAUCGUGAGGAAGACCAGUGGCGAAGGCGGAUCUCUGGACAGUUCCUGACGCUGAGGCGCGGAAG